AUGUCUUCCUCCUCCGCCUCCUUCCAGUCGCCGCUCAGCGGUGGAGUCCCGGAGAAGCUCUCCCGCACCAACUACGUUCUGUGGCGGACCCAGAUCACGCCGCAGUUGCGGGGCGCCGGCGUGUUCCACUACGUCGACGGCACGGCGACUGAGCCGGCCAAGGUCCUCACCAGCAAGGACGCCACCGGCAAGGAGACCACCGGGCCAAAUCCCCUUCAUCCACUUUGGGUGAGGGAGGACCAGCAGGUCCUCGGAUACCUGCUCCAAAACCUCUCCAAGGAGGUGCUCGUCACGGUGACCACGAUCACCACGGCGCGCGAACUCUGGGUGGCACUGGCGAGCAUGUUCUCGUCACAGUCACUCAGCUGCGUCAACAACAUUCGUACAGCGCUGAUCAAUGCGCAGAAGGGAAAUCAAUCGGUGGCCUCCUUCUUCGCCGCCAUGAGAGGCCUCGCCGAUGAACUCGCCGCGGCGGGCAAACCCAUCCAAGAUGACGAGCUCAUGUCCUACAUCAUCCACGGGCUGGACCAAGACUAUCAGCCCCUUGUCUCUGCACUGGACGCACGCGUCACCCCGGUAACUCUUGAUGAACUUUUUGCCAUGCUCAGUAACUUUGAUCAACGCAUGGCGCAGUACCAAGGCUCCGGUGGUGGUUUCAAGUCUUCGGCCAACUCCGCAUUCAGAGGCCGCGGUGGUGGCUCUCGCUCACGCCCAUCUCCCCGUGGCAAGGGGAGGUUCGGCUCCGGUGGUGGCGGCUACUCCAACAACUCGCGUGGCAGCAGCCGCUCGGGAAACUCCAAAGGGCGUCGCGGUGGUGGCAGUGGUGGCUCCAACAGAUCCCGUCCGGACUUGCCCCGCUGUCAAAUCUGUGGCAAGACAGGACAUACGGCGAAGGAUUGUUGGUACCGCUACGAAGAGGAUGAUGGUGACUCCUCACAAGAUGAAGAGAAAAUUGCAGCGGCGGCCGAUGGCUCCUAUGGAGUUGACACAAACUGGUACGUUGACAGCGGCGCCACCAACCACAUCACCAACGAGCUCGAGAAAGUCACCAUGAAGGAGAAAUAUCGUGGGAACGAUCAAAUUCAUACGGCCAGUGGUGAAGGGAUGGGUAUACGUCACAUUGGCCAUUCAAUUUUUAAUACCCCUAGUCAUAAAAUUCAUCUCAAACGAAUCUUGCAUGUUCCUAGUGCCCACAAAAAUCUUCUCUCUGUUCAUAGAAUUGCCAUUGACAAUCAUGUUUUUCUCGAGUUUCAUCCUUAUUUCUUUUUGAUCAAGGAUCAGGCAACGAGGAAAAUUCUCUAUCGAGGUAGAUGCGUUCAAGGGCUCUACCCGUUGAUUCCGGAGUUUAGAAGAUUCAAUAAACAAGCUUGUGGUGCUAUCAAGCUUUCGUCCACAUGA
rnacentral:rRNA from 1 species